rnacentral:rRNA from 1 species
AUGAACGCUAGCGGCAGGCUUAACACAUGCAAGUCGAGGGGUAGAAGGAGCUUGCUCCUUUGAGACCGGCGCACGGGUGCGUAACGCGUAUGCAAUCUACCUUUUGCAGAGGGAUAGCCCAGAGAAAUUUGGAUUAAUACCUCAUAGUAUGUGAGGAUGGCAUCAUUUUCACAUUAAAGUCACAACGGCAAAAGAUGAGCAUGCGUCCCAUUAGCUAGUUGGUAAGGUAACGGCUUACCAAGGCUACGAUGGGUAGGGGUCCUGAGAGGGAGAUCCCCCACACUGGUACUGAGACACGGACCAGACUCCUACGGGAGGCAGCAGUGAGGAAUAUUGGACAAUGGGCGCAAGCCUGAUCCAGCCAUGCCGCGUGCAGGAUGACGGUCCUAUGGAUUGUAAACUGCUUUGUACAGGAAGAAACACUACUUCGUGAAGUAGCUUGACGGUACUGUAAGAAUAAGGAUCGGCUAACUCCGUG